rnacentral:tRNA from 1 species
CGGGGAGUGGCGCAGUCUGGUAGCGCACCUGGUUUGGGACCAGGGGGUCGGAGGUUCGAAUCCUCUCUCCCCGACCA